rnacentral:tRNA from 1 species
UGGCUCAGCGGUAGAGCGCUCGCCUAGCACGCGUGAGGCCCUGGGUUCAAUCCUCGG